rnacentral:rRNA from 1 species
AGUGGCGCACGGGUGCGUAACGCGUAUGCAACCUACCUUUAACUGAGGAAUAGCUCCGAGAAAUCGGGAUUAAUCCCUCAUAAUAUUUUUGAAAGGCAUCUUUUAAAAAUUAAAGUUUCGACGGUUAUUGAUGGGCAUGCGUGGCAUUAGUUUGUUGGUGAGGUAACGGCUCACCAAGACAUCGAUGCCUAGGGGGCCUGAGAGGGUGAUCCCCCACACUGGUACUGAGACACGGACCAGACUCCUACGGGAGGCAGCAGUAAGGAAUAUUGGGCAAUGGACGAAAGUCUGACCCAGCCAUGCCGCGUGCAGGAUGACGGCCCUAGUGGUUGUAAACUGCUUUUAUACGGGAAGAAAAGUUCCAACGUGUUGGAAUGUGACUGUACCGUAUGAAUAAGCAUCGGCUAACUCCGUGCCAGCAGCCGCGGUAAUACGGAGGAUGCAAGCGUUAUCCGGAUUCAUUGGGUUUAAAGGGUGCGUAGGCGGAUUGGUAAGUCAGUGGUGAAAUCCUCUCGCUUAACGGGAGAAUUGCCGUUGAUACUAUCAAUCUUGAGUACACUUGAAGUGGGCGGAAUGUGUCAUGUAGCGGUGAAAUGCAUAGAUAUGACACAGAACACCGAUUGCGAAGGCAGCUCACUAAAUUGUAACUGACGCUGAGGCACGAAAGCGUGGGGAGCAAACAGGAUUAGAUACCCUGGUAGUCCACGCUGUAAACGAUGAUCACUAGCUGUUGGCGAUACACUGUCAGCGGCUGAGCGAAAGUAUUAAGUGAUCCACCUGGGGAGUACGAUCGCAAGGUUGAAACUCAAAGGAAUUGACGGGGGCCCGCACAAGCGGAGGAGCAUGUGGUUUAAUUCGAUGAUACGCGAGGAACCUCACCUAGGCUUAAAUGCUUUUUGACCGUCCUGGAAACAGGAUUUCCCUUCGGGGCAAAUUGCAAGGUGCUGCAUGGUUGUCGUCAGCUCGUGCCGUGAGGUGUCGGGUUAAGUCCCAU